ACUUUAAAUGAUCAGCUUCUCAAAUGCAAAACCCACCCAGUUUAUCAUGGAGUCACCCUUGACUGGACUCUAACUUAUAAAUCACAUCUCCAGAAAACUGCUUUAAGAAUCAAAACGAGGCAUAACCUACUUGCCAAACUUGCAGGCUCCACUUGAGGUGCCAGUGCCCCCAUGCCACAUUCACCUGCUCUUGCACUGUAUUAUUCAGUUACAGAAUACUUUGCCCCUGGACAGGCUCGCUCAUCACACAGCAAACUAGUGGACACCCAACUGCAUGUUACAAUGUGUCUUGUGUCAGGCACCUUGGGUCCCACUCCACUCCCAUGGUUUCCAGGCCUUGAUAGCAUUGCUCCCUCUCAUCUCUGCCACACAAAUGCUAAAGCAAACUUACCAGCCAGACUCUAUGAUAAUCCUAAAUUGCCAGUGCACUAGGACAUAUUCUACUCACCCACAGCUCAGGUCUCCUCAGGGUGCCCAAUAUAGUCCACCCUUUCAAAAAUCCUCUGACUUUUCCUUACUUACAUGAUGGCAUGAAGAAUGGUCAGCACAAGCACCAGUCAAUCACCACAUCAUCUCCAACUAUAAGCAGCUGUGUGUAGUUGAAGUUGGCUGCCUACACUUUGCGGGGCGUUCUUCCACUUGUCAACUUUAAGGACCUGAUAGCUCGACAUGGCGGACAAUAAUUAAUUGUGUGCACCCCUUGUUUUGCCCGCCACGCUUUGAUGUAAAUAUAGAGCAAGAGGAAGGCACUGUUAACUCUUAUCCAAGUGAUGUUCCUUGGGGCUCCACCUCCCCUUGCAUCCCAUCCUUGUACCAACCCGAUAUCAUCAGUCUUGUUCAGGUCAUUUGUCUUAAGGAUGCAUAGUAUUCCUGUCCUCACAACUGGUGUAUUUGGCACUGUCAAAUAGCCUGAUUUUAACUCAGUCCACUGGGCUUGCAAUAGGCUGCACCCAGUGCCUUAGUCUCUGUAAGCAACUCUAUUUGAGCAACAAAAACAAGAAAGUCCAAAGGGACACCCUUAUUCAAGAGUUCCCAGGGAAUAUUCCCCUCACAUUGCAACCGACUCAUGGUUUGUUGUCUUCUUCUUUCCCACAGGGUGGAGAGAACCUCCCAAUACCCUCCCUGCCAUCCAACAAACCCUCAUCCCUCACUCAAAGAACUCCAAUAAGUAAAGAGAUUCCACAGAGGAACAGCUGCCACUUUCCUCUGCUCAACCCUGCUGGGGCAGGUUUAGAUAGAAGUCAGCUUCUUUUCAGCCACACUCCCUUCUCCAGGGUUCCCUGUCCCCAGCUGGGACAAUGUACACCUUUAUGAUGUGUUUGGUCAUGCAGUUGCGCAGCUGGAGCUGGCUUAAAUUGAUAAAGCAUGCCAGCGACAACACUGUGCUGCUGGCCCUUUCCCUGGUCUGCCUGGAGGACUGGGCCAGCUGACACAGAUAAUUGGCUGGCUACAGGAAGUUAAAAGACUCCCAAGGAAAGAAAUCAGGAAGGAAGUAAGAAAGAACAGAGAGAGACAGAAGACUGAAAGAGACAGAGCAGAGAGACGUACCAAGCCAGUGGUGGCAGAACCAAGCCAGGGUACAUCUCAUGGUCUGAGAGAAGACCCAAGGACUGCAAGCUCCAUGUCAGGAAACUGAGCCACAGACAAACUAAGAAGUAAAUCUGCAGUGUGACUGGAGCAGCAGGGAGCUGGAGGCACCUUCUCAGGGGCUGGAGAGGACUCUAGGACUGAGAUGGAUGGCCUCCGAGAAUGUGGAACAAGAACCAAAAGAUGAUAAAGUUACCUCUUACUCUCACAAAGUUAUCCAGAUGGCUCCCUAGAGGUUUAAACUUCAACUUCCCUUUUGGAUUCUACUACAUAAGAUGUUCACUGUAUGUGAGAUACAGAGUAAUUCACUCCCUCCAGUUGCUUUGUUUCUGGAAAACCAUUUAGUUUUCCUUGUGAAAAAUGAUAACAGCUUCACUCCAGCUUUUACAGAGACCCUUGCAUGCAAGAAUCUCUGCCUUGUUUUAAAACUAUAUAAUAGUGAGCAGGUGUUCCUAAAACCAAUUAUAAAUGGGAAAAGCUUCAACUCA